rnacentral:sRNA from 1 species
AUUUAGCCCCGAUCGAAGUGGAAAUCUCCCGAUUUAGAAAAACAAGGCUUUUUAGCCGUAGUUUUACUUAAGCGGGAAUUGCAGCGGAGAGCGGGAGGAAAC